UUUCUGUUGCGAAAAUUGGAUUGUGUGAGGUUUGGAGAAUCUGCGUUUUUGGGUUUGAAGAGGAGGGCCUGGAGCUGAGGUUUCGAUUGAGUCACCCUUGAAGAAGAAAUGGGGUUCGAAUGGUUGAUGGUGUUUUGGUGCAGCCAUGCUAAAUCGACUUCUAGUUUUGGAUAGAAGAAUGGUAAGGGACUGCAUCUUGGAUCUGUUUGGCUAUGUUCUUUGUAGUGGUCGAAAGUGUAUGGUUAUGUUGAGUAAAUAGAAUGAGAUAUGGUUGUACUGGUUUG